rnacentral:rRNA from 1 species
AACGAACGCUGGCGGCAUGCCUAACACAUGCAAGUCGAGCGAGACCUUCGGGUCUAGUGGCGCACGGGUGCGUAACGCGUGGGAACCUGCCCUUAGGUUCGGAAUAACUCCCCGAAAGGGGUGCUAAUACCGGAUAAUGUCUUCGGACCACAGAUUUAUCGCCUUUGGAUGGGCCCGCGUUGUAUUAGCUUGUUGGUAGGGUAAAAGCCUACCAAGGCGACGAUCCAUAGCUGGUCUGAGAGGAUGAUCAGCCACACUGGGACUGAGACACGGCCCAGACUCCUACGGGAGGCAGCAGUGGGGAAUAUUGGACAAUGGGCGAAAGCCUGAUCCAGCAAUGCCGCGUGAGUGAUGAAGGCCUGAGGGUUGUAAAGCUCUUUUACCCGGGAUGAUAAUGACAGUACCGGGAGAAUAAGCACCGGCUAACUCCGUG